UUAACUCAAAUUUGUAUGAAGUUGGAACGUGUGCUUACGCCGCUAGGGGCGAUGUUGCAACUGCAUACAAAUUUAAAUUA
rfam:Bombyx mori DNA, contig: Bm_scaf29_contig18608, strain: p50T/Dazao, build 2, whole genome shotgun sequence.